rnacentral:pre_miRNA from 1 species
GGUAGUAGUAGUAAUAGUAGUAGUGAUUAUAUGGAAUGUGGCGAAGUAUGGUCUAUGGUUACUAGAAUCAUCAUGAUCUUAAUAGUAUUAUCUUUACUAUUAUUAUUAUUAAUGUA